rnacentral:lncRNA from 1 species
AUGGAACAGGGCGGGGCUCUCGGGGCCCACCGGGCGCGCCGCUCUGAGGACGGGGAGGGGCCGGCGGUGGGCGCUGCGGCGCUGCAAGGCUCUGCAGCAUGUGCCUGUGCUGUAGGGAGGACGAGUCUGUCCAAGUCAACCCCGAAAGCUCGAGCUGGCGGCAUCCUGCAGAAGUCACUCAAAGGCAGUCCACAGCUAAACGUAUUGAGCAUAUGA